rnacentral:rRNA from 1 species
UACAGAGGGUGCGAGCGUUGUCCGGAAUCACUGGGCGUAAAGGGCGCGUAGGCGGCUUGAUAAGGUUGCGGUGAAAGCCCGGGGCUCGAACCCCGGGUCGGCCGUGGCAACUGUCGAGCUGGAGCACUGUAGAGGCAGGUGGAAUUCCGGGUGUAGCGGUGGAAUGCGUAGAGAUCCGGAAGAACACCGGUGGCGAAGGCGGCCUGCUGGGCAGUGGCUGACGCUGAGGCGCGACAGCGUGGGGAGCAAACGAGG